rnacentral:lncRNA from 1 species
UCAAAACUACCAUGAUUUUUUAAAUUAACUUUUUAAAAACCCUUUAUUUUCUUACUCAGGUUCCUAACUAAAACUGCAUCACAAGAAAUGCCACCUGUCUCUUCAAUUAAAAAGCAGAAGAUAAAUUGUUGGACCUUGAAUCAUUGCUGAUGCUUCUACAAGGGAUACCAUUCAAGGGUUUAAAAGUGAAACGAAAACCACAAACAAGAGUAGAAAUGGGCUGUCCUGAAGUCUCUUGCCACAAAGAAGAAGGAGGAAGAGAAGAAGAAAACAAAAGGAGGAAAAGAGAGAGAAGGAUGUAGAAGAAGAGGAAGAAAAGAUAAAGGUAGGGAACCAGCCUUGGGGAAAUAAAAAACUGAGACCUCCACA